CCUGGUGACUCAGAGGUUAAAGCGUCUGCCUCCAAUGCAGGAGACCCAGGUUCGAUCCCUGGGUCAGGA
rnacentral:tRNA from 1 species